GCCUUUGAUUACAGUUCAAGGAAAAAACUCUGGCCAUGGAUCAAAACAUUAUAAAGAUGAUUGGAUCAAAGGUUCCCUUCUUAUAUUCAUCGCCAAUGCCACAUUUAGUGUAUAGUUCAUUCUUCAGGUUAGUCCUUCAAAUGUGCUGCUAUAUUCCUUCUCACACAUUGCAUACUUCGGUUAAAGAGCUUACGAAGAUUGAUCAAAAAGCUUUGGUUCUGCAGGCAAAUGUUUGUGAGGUUUAUCGAGCAAGAUUAUCGAUGAACAUCCUAAUCUGCUUCUUCACAUCCCUUCAGUCUGCAGCAGUUGCCCUCAUCUUUGACAAGAAUUCAUCUUCUUGGAAAUUAGAAUAGAACAUACAACUUAAAACAGUCAUAUACUCAGUAUGUAACUUAAUUUGUCCUCUCAUUUAUUAACAGAAAACCUUAUUGAUUCGUGAAGAUUUCGG